rnacentral:lncRNA from 1 species
UUUUCCUUUAUCAGCAUCGUUUUCCCCCUUUUUCACUUUGCUAAAGAAAAGCUGAGCUUCCAUCUCCCUUUCAACACGUGUAGAAAGUCAUUUUCUCUUGCUUUUGCUCCCUCUUUCACAUAAGAAAGCUUAUUUGACAAAAUUUUGGGUCUGGAUUCACCUGCUUUUUCCAAUUUUACAUGAGCUGAAGUACUUUGACGGUUGAUGUUUCACCUGCUCUUCUUGAAAUUUUGAUUUGGUUCCUUGAUGGUUUCAGUUGCUCUUCCUGAAAUUUCAGUUGUAGUUUGAUUUUGAUGAUGAAAGCAGGUGAGGUGAGAAUGUGAUUUGUAUGGCUGAUGGGAGCGAGGUAAGGUAAGUUCAGUAGGUUUAACAUCUAUUCUACCAUUUUUCUUGUUUGAUUUUAAUUAUGAUAUAUCACUUGUUUCCCUUCCUCUAGUCACCUCCUCCUCUGCUGCUUAAAAGCAAAUGAAAUUUUUUGAUUUUACUAGAAUAUCAUGUAAGAGAUCUCUCUCCUUUUUCGAGGUUCAGGUGAAAUCCUACAGGGGAAGAGAUUGUAAGGGAACCAAAAGAAGAUGUAAGUGAGAAAAGAAAGGCAGGAGGAGAGAAAGAUGAAGAGGUGAUCUUAAAAAAUAUGAUCCAAUGUGCAUAUGAGAGACAGAUGUGCAUAUGAAGGUUCUUAAAACUUACAAGAAACUACCUACCCACUUCUUUCUCUUUUAACCAAUUUCUUCGGUUAAAGUGUUUUUUGGUGAAAUACUUGCGGAAAUGUGAGCCGAGGAAGUAGGUCAGUAUGACUUCAAACCCUGUGCAAUCUUGUAAAGCAAAUUGGUCACUCAAUUUUGUAUCCAACAUUUCUGUGCUGCUGCUUGGUGUUAACUGCUUUGUAUGAGCUUAUAUUUAUUAUUGUGCCAAUGAAUGCCUAUUUUAUUGAUUGUCUUUGUCAACUGAUGCUAUUUAGUUUCCAAACUUUGUAUCCACACUGAUCCUCUAGCUAUUUUUUUUUAAUCUAGCUUACUGGCGAUUUAAACAAGAUGGUUGCCCUGCAGAUAUUAUUAGAGCCAUAUGGGAUUUGGAGGUCUGUGUCUGUCCUCCCAUUCUCUUUUACCAUGGUUCAUUAUAUUUUUAACAUCAGUUUUCCUGAAGCUUGCUGGAUUCUGUAUUUGUUGAUUUAUGGGAAUUUUAUGAUUUUUUUGUUCCAUUUGUUGGUCUCAUAUGGGAUGGAGUUAUCGUAUUUGUUUAAAACGAAGUUCUCAAACUCUCUAUUUUGCUCUCAUGUAUCAGUCCAUGGAUUACCAACUUGUCCUAUAAUAUAAAUUCUCACUGACUUUGAAGGGGCAUGAAAUUAUUAUAUAAUUAUUUACGUCUAAUCGCAAUAUAAUAUUAAUUUUAUAUUAUUAAAAUUAUAUAAUACUAAUAAUUUUUUUAUUUAAACAUUAAUAAUAAAAAAUAUUAAAUUUUAAUAUAUUAAAAAUUAUGAAACUAUUUAUUAUCAUAAAAAAUUAUAAAAUAAAUAAUAUUAUUAAAUUAAUAUAAUAUAAAUAUAUUAUUAUAAUAUAUUAAAAAUUAAAAAAAAAUAAACUUCAUGGCCUGACGCUAUUCACACAGAUGUCAGGUCAAGAUUUAUAAUUGAAAAUAAUUUUUAUAAGAGCACUUAAAGUGGAUCUGACGGUGAUGUAGGCUAUGGAUCUGACGGUGAUUUAUAAUUAAACUUCAUGGUUCUUUCUCCAGAAACUUCCGAUUCCUAUUUUCAUUUGCAUAUGCUAUGUUGUUAAUUUGCUUCCGUCCUCUGUCUCUCUCUCUCGUGAUGAGUCAUUCAUUAGCAGGUUUUAGAUGCCAGGAAUCCCAAGGUAGCAGGUGCUAACAUUUGGAGAAGCAUAUGCAAGAGCUUCGGAAACUUUUAACAGUUUGACAAGGCUAUGGAGUUAUUAGCAGAGAUGAAGGAAUUGAGUUCCAAUCCGAUGGAGGUGAGUACAAUAAGCUGAUCCAAUCUCUACCCUUAAAGAUAUGGUUUUACUUGUGUUUUUCUAAGUAGAUUUGUUUUCAUUUGUUCAAACACCCGUUAUUCUAAACCCUAGAUCUCUCGUCUCUCAUCCUCUCUCCUUCCAUGAUACCUUCUCGCAUUGGGAUGAUCCCUUCAGAGAACUCCAUCAGAGAUUAGUCAUUUUUAUUUGAUGGUUUCACUUUCAAAAGGAAAUGAUCUAUGCUUUUUGGCCUUGAGACGGAUUUUAUUUUAUUUUUUAUAUAAUUUUUCUUUAUUAAUAACUGAUUGAAUAAUGUUUUAACAUUGUUUUUUACGGUGAUAUAAAGGUAAACUCAAGAUUUCUUCUCUUUCUAUUUUUUUCACACCAUAAAAGUGAAUAUUUUAAGUAAAUAAAGAGAUCAAAACUCAAAAUUUUAUUGACUUCCUACGAAAGUAUAAAAAGACCUAUCAUUAGUUUUCUUUUCCUAUUAAUCGAGAGAAAGGAUAACUUUUAAAUUGUUAUACAAUGGAUUGAGGAUAAAAAAAAAC